CAGAGGUCUCAAGCGUUGUUCGGAUUCAUUGGGCGUAAAGGGUGCGUAGGUGGCGCGCUAAGUCGGGUGUGAAAUUUCGGAGCUUAACUCCGAAACUGCAUUUGAUACUGGCGUGCUUGAGGACUGGAGAGGAGACUGGAAUUUACGGUGUAGCAGUGAAAUGCGUAGAUAUCGUAAGGAAGACCAGUGGCGAAGGCGGGUCUCUGGACAGUUCCUGACACUGAGGCACGAAGGCCAGGGGAGCAAACGGGAUUAGAUACCCCGGUAGUCCUGGCAGUAAACGGUGCACGUUUGGUGUGGGAGGAUUCGACCCCUUCUGCGCCGGAGCUAACGCGUUAAACGUGCCGCCUGGGGAGUACGGUCGCAAGAUUA
rnacentral:rRNA from 1 species